rnacentral:rRNA from 1 species
ACGAGUGGCGGACGGGUGAGUAAUGUCUGGGAAACUGCCCGAUGGAGGGGGAUAACUACUGGAAACGGUAGCUAAUACCGCAUAACGUCGCAAGACCAAAGAGGGGGACCUUCGGGCCUCUUGCCAUCGGAUGUGCCCAGAUGGGAUUAGCUAGUAGGUGGGGUAACGGCUCACCUAGGCGACGAUCCCUAACUGGUCUGAGAGGAUGACCAGCCACGCUGGAACUGAGACACGGUCCAG